rnacentral:rRNA from 1 species
ACUCCUACGGGAGGCAGCAGUGGGGAAUAUUGGACAAUGGACCACAACUCUGAUCCAGCAAUUCUGUGUGCACGAUGACGUUUUCGGAAUGUAAAGUGCUUUCAGUCGGGAAGAAGCAAGUGACGGUACCGACAGAAGAAGCGACGGCUAAAUACGUGCCAGCAGCCGCGGUAAUACGUAUGUCGCAAGCGUUAUCCGGAUUUAUUGGGGCGUAAAGCGCGUCUAGGCGGCGAGGAAAGUCUGAUGUGAAAAUGCGGGGCUCAACCCCGUAUUGCGUUGGAAACUGCCUUGCUAGAGUACUGGAGAGGUAGGCGGAACUACAAGUGUAGAGGUGAAAUUCGUAGAUAUUUGUAGGAAUGCCGAUGGGGAAGCCAGCCUACUGGACAGAUACUGACGCUAAAGCGCGAAAGCGUGGUAGCAAACAGGAUUAGAUACCCUGGUAGCGACUGA